UACAUGGGGUGCAAACGUUGCUCGGAAUUAUUGGGCGUAAAGCGCACGUAGGCGGUUCGUUAAGUCGGAUGUGAAAGCCCUCGGCUCAACUGAGGAAGUGCACCCGAAACUGGCGAGCUUGAGUACGAAAAGAGGAUCGCGGAAUUCCCGGUGUAGAGGUGAAAUUCGUAGAUAUCGGGAGGAACACCGGUGGCGAAGGCGGCGAUCUGGGUAGAUACUGACGCUGAGGUGCGAAAGCGUGGGGAGCAAACAGG
rnacentral:rRNA from 1 species